rnacentral:rRNA from 1 species
GACGAACGCUGGCGGCGUGCUUAACACAUGCAAGUCGAACGGUGAAGGGGUCUGCUUUUGUGGGCCCUGGAUGAGUGGCGAACGGGUGAGUAACACGUGAGUAACCUGCCCCCUUCUUCUGGAUAACCGCAUGAAAGUGUGGCUAAUACGGGAUAUUCUGGGUCUGUCGCAUGAUGGGUCUGGGAAAGAUUGCGCCUUUGGGUGUUUUUGGUGGGGGAUGGGCUCGCGGCCUAUCAGCUUGUUGGUGGGGUGAUGGCCUACCAAGGCGGUGACGGGUAGCCGGACUGAGAGGGUGGACGGUCACACUGGGACUGAGACACGGCCCAGACUCCUACGGGAGGCAGCAGUGGGGAAUAUUGCACAAUGGGCGCAAGCCUGAUGCAGCGACGCCGCGUGAGGGAUGGAGGCCUUCGGGUUGUAAACCUCUUUCGCCAGUGAAGCAGGCCUGCUCCUUGUGGUGGGUUGACGGUAGCUGGAUAAGAAGCGCCGGCUAACUACGUG